rnacentral:tRNA from 1 species
GCAGGGGUAGCCAAGCUUGGCCAACGGCGUAGGACUUAGGAUCCUAUCCUUAGUGGUCCAAGGGUUCAAAUCCCUUCCCCUGCACCA